GGGGGUGACAUGGUUUCGACAGGGAUGACUGAGAUCGUUGAUGCAUGCCGAGGAGAUUACCUACUCGUUAAUCACGGUGAUAAUUAACUAAACGCAAACGAAAAUUACGCAUUAGCAGCAUAACGCUGCUACGCCCACUUCAGUGAUGCUAACUAGCUGAUACUGGGUGUCAAAAAAACAGAUAGCUGGGAACGCAAAUACCUAUAAUGCGAUCCGAGACUAAUAGGUUGGUUCGGGGGAAUGGUUUGAUUGUUUUCCACCUUCGGAUGAGAUGCAAAGACAACUAAGCAUGUAGAUUUGGCCUUCGACGUAUCUUUGGACGCGGGUUCGAUUCCCGCCACCUCCACCA
rnacentral:tmRNA from 1 species